rnacentral:rRNA from 1 species
UAACGUGAGCGUCCUAAGGUAGCGCGAUAAUUUGCUUUUCAAUUGAAGGAUGGUAUGAAAGGGUUAACGAAGAAGGUGCUGUGUCUAAAAAUUCAAUUUAAACUAACUUUAAGGUGAAGAGGCCUUUAUGUAAAAGAAGGACGACAAGACCCUAUGAAGCUUUAUCUUAAUUGGAGCUCUCGGGCUCUUAUACGAUUUUGAUGGGAGAUCAGUAGAAAUAAGUCUUCUACUAUCAUAUUAAUCUUACUAGUAUUUCCUAACUUUAUAUGUGUGGCUAGCUACUCUAGGGAUAACAGCGCAAUUUCUCCCGAAAGAUGGUAUUGGAGGGGAAGAUUGCGACCUCGAUGUUGGCUUUAGAUAUCCUAGAGGCGUAGAAGCUUCU